rnacentral:misc_RNA from 1 species
UUUUUUUUUUAUUUAAUUUUAUUUUAUAGAUAAAUCGAUAAAAUAAUAAUUUCUAAAAAUAAUCUCUCAUUUCUUUUCUUCACAGGAAGUUGGAAGGACACAUUUUGAUUCUCUCUCUCUCCGUUUAUCAAUUGGGAGAGAUUGAGUUUUCAUGAUUAAGCCCAUGGCGAUUUCUUCACGUGGUCUCUCUGUUUUGGGCGUCCUCUUCUUCUUCUCUUUCUUCUUUCUCAUCGUUCUUUCCUUCGCCGAUGACGUCUCCUACGAUGACGAUUCCCCCAAGUCUCCCGGCUGCGAUCGGGCUUACAAAUUGGUCAAGGUUAUGAACUGGGUUAAUGGUGUUGAAGGUGAAACUUUAGGUGGGAUAACUGCAAGAUUUGGGGCUGCAUUGCCUUUGGAGGCUGAAAAAGGUCUCAGAUUGCCUGCCAUUUUCUCAAAUCCCUUAAAUGGCUGUUCUAGUUCUUCUUCAAAGCUUUCUGGCUCUAUUGCAGUGUCCAUACGUGGUGAUUGUACCUACACUACAAAAGCAGAAGUUGCACAGUUGGGAGGUGCAGAAGCUCUUUUAGUGAUAAACGACAAAGAAGGGCUUGCUGAGAUGGGAUGUGAUAAGGACAGUGGUUCUCCAAAUGUUUCAAUUCCUGUUGUGAUGAUUCCAAAGUCAGCAGGUGAAUAUCUGAACAAGUCAAUGGGGGGUGGACAGAAAGUGGAAAUCAAACUAUAUGCACCCAAUCGUCCUGUUGUGGAUUUUUCAGUGAUAUUCUUGUGGAUGAUGGCUGUUGGAACAGUGAUCUGUGCUACUCUUUGGUCAGAGUUUACUGCUCCCGAAGAGAGUGAUAAGCAUUAUAAUGAAUUAUCACCAAAGGAAAAUGCUUCAACAGCCAAAGAUGAUUCUGAGCAAGAAUUCAUUGAUAUUAAUGCGAAGAGUGCAGUAGUUUUUGUUCUAACAGCAUCAACUUUUCUGGUUCUACUCUUCUUUUUUAUGUCAAGUUGGUUUGUCUGGCUGUUGAUUAUACUCUUCUGCCUUGGUGGUGUUGAGGUAUGAAGUUCUUUUAGAGGAUCUUUUACACUGUUAUGGCAUAUGUCAAUACUCAAUAGCUGGUAUUAGCCAAAUAAAGUAUUCAAGACAUAUUGUUGCUAUAUUUGAAGGACUAGGGCUAAAAAAUUGAAUCAACAGUGUUGUUUACUAGUGCAAUUUGAAAAUAUUGCUGUUGAACAAAAGAACAACAGAUAUAUAGAUACCAUAUAUGGGGUUUGGAGGUGGUACAUAAUUAAGAUGCAUAAUGGACUGUUUCCUUUUCUUUGCAUGCUUAGGACCUCAUUUGUAGGAGUUUUACACAGAUGCAAAUAAUCAACACAUUCAUUCUAUGAAUUUUAUCAUGGUUAAUCAACGUAACUAAAACUGGCCACUUAAAACUCUUAAAGUGUUAAAAUUCAAAAAUUGAAAGCUUGAUUCUGGUUCUGUAACAAAUAUGCAAACCAAACUAUUGAUGAGUUGCAUACUGGUUUAUGAUCAGACUUGCAUAUCAUCUGCAUGCACACACAUGCACUUCCACACAUGGAGAAAUUUAUUUCCAUGCCCAUUUCCUAUUGAGGCAGUCUAGAUCACACUAGUUCUUGGAAUUAUUGGAAAUAUAAAGUGAAAAAGGUUGUUUCCUCGUUUCUGUAUGCAGUACGAAAUGCAUAUGAACCCAGUCAGAGCAGUUUAUUCUAUAUAUGUUGUUUUCCAUUUGUAUGUUGUGAAUAUUUUCAAUGGCUGUGAUCAUAUUAAUUCUACAUUUUGCUUAUUGAACUACAUAUAUUUUUUUUUCGUCAGGGCAUGCAUAGUUGUAUAGUAUCUUUGAUUUCAAGAAAAUGCAAAAAUUGUGUGCAAAAGAAAGUAAAUUUACCUCUUUUGGGGGAAACUUCUAUUGUCUCGCUUGUUGUAUUAUGUUGCUGUCUGGCAUUUGCUAUUUUCUGGAUCGUGAAUCGGCGGACAUCAUAUUCGUGGAUUGGGCAAGAUAUUCUUGGUAUCUGCUUGAUGAUAACUGUCUUGCAGGUGGCUAGACUGCCAAAUAUUAAGGUUGCUGCUGUACUUCUGUGUUGCGCAUUCGUUUAUGACAUCUUUUGGGUCUUUCUAUCCCCAAUAAUUUUCCAUCAAAGUGUUAUGAUUGCUGUGGCUCGAGGUGACAACAGUGGUGGGGAAUCUAUUCCGAUGCUUUUGAGAAUUCCUCGAUUUUCUGAUCCUUGGGGUGGUUAUGACAUGAUUGGAUUUGGGGACAUUCUUUUUCCUGGUUUGCUUGUAUCAUUUUCUAGGAGAUAUGAUAGAACAAAUAAGAAGGGCGGGUCCAGCGGAUAUUUUCCUUGGUUGACAAUUGGCUAUGGAUUUGGUCUUUUCCUCACAUACCUAGGUUUAUAUCUAAUGGAUGGGCAUGGUCAACCUGCACUCCUCUAUCUUGUUCCAUGUACCCUAGGUAAUGAAUUGCAUGAUUAUAUUAAGUUUUGAACUGACUUGUGUGGUUUUUGGGAAAAUUGACAAUUUAAUAAUUAAUAGCUGAAUUUUGUCAGUUCUAAAAAAACAUUGAGUAGAAAUAUGACGUAAUUAGUAAGUGCUUAAAUUAAAAUGAAAAAAAAAUUACGCUUUUAAUUAUAUUAUUUACAAAAUAUUAAUGGUGGUGAUAGUUGUGGUGUAAUAAUAUUUGAUGGAGGUUUUAGCAGCAUUGUCUUUGGUGAUAGUGGUGGUGGUUCAGCGAUAGCACAUAGGAAUAAGCAUUAUUCAGUUAAUAAAAGCAAAUUGAUUUAUAUAUAUUUUUUAUUAAUGGACUAGCUACUUUUAUGAUUUGUACAUGUGUCUAUUAUUCUGAAGGUUUAGAUUUUUUCUCUUAAUGGAAUUUCACUUAUAUUUGAGUAACUGUGUCUAUAAUUUUUAAGGCUCUAUUUGAUUUGCAUUUUUGAGCUGGUUGGAUUAAUUUUCUGAUUUUCUCAUCUUAUCAUAUAUCCCAAGGACCAAUUGAAAUGGCCAAAUUUUAAAAAGGGCCUAUAUCGAAAGCCAAGUGACCAAAUAAAUGAAUCAAAAUAUGUCAAUUCAGUUUUAAAAGUUGUUCUAUUAGUCUUUUAGGAGCUUUUGUAAUUGCAGUUGAUCUCAAAAUUUGAUUCAGUUUUCUUAGUUGAAUGAAUACCCCUAAAUAGUGGUAGAUGGGGUGAUGGUGGUGGUUGGAGUAAUAGUUAUGGUUGUAAUGAUUGUGGUGGUGGAAUUAGAGUUGGUUAUGAUUGUGGUGGUGGAAUGAGAGAUGGUUAUGAUGGAGUUGGCUUGGCAAAUGACAACAAUAGUGUUGGUGGUGACUUUGAGAGUGACUGUUCACGGUCAAAUUAUUGAUAAUGGUGGCAAUGAUGUUAGUGACAAUGGUUUUCUUAUUGGCAAUGAUGGUCAUUGAAGUCAUGUUUUCUUUCCCUCUGAAUCAAGAACCAGAAGCAGAAGCAUUAUCAAUGCACGUAAUUGCUAAAUAUGGCCAAUAAAUGCCUCCUACGUCUGCUGGUUUGCUAGUGAAAACUGAAGCUUUUAUAUAUAUGCUUUUCUUAAACUAAUCACUCUUUCUUUGGACGUUGUUAUUAGGUGUUUGUGUGAUAUUGGGUCUGGUGAGAGGAGAGAUAAAAGAACUCUGGAGCUUUGGUGCUGAAACUUCCUCAUCAUCUGGAGAUGCUCCUGGGGAAGCUUGAAGCUGUAAAUCAGUGACUUCU